UAUAAAACCUUUAAUAAACUUUAUUAUAUUUCAUUGUCAUACCAUUUUAUUUCACGAAACAAACUUGACAUAAUAUGCUUUUUUUUCUUCUUGUUUUAGUGAAAAACGGAAAUCAGCACAUUAAAAACAUAAAGACUUUACUCAGCUGAAUAGUACACGCGCAGUUCCACACGAGGAGCUGAAUUCUUCUUUGAAUUUGGAUCAGUGCCAAACUUAUCAGUUCAUCCAAACGCCCAUUUUGAUCAGCAGGAGAUAAUCCACAUAUUCGAAGAUCUUGACGAGAGAGUAGUUUAUUUUCACGGUGCCAAUUCUGUUUGGUUGGACAGAAAAUAUUUGUCAACCGCCAAAGCUUCACGCGUCCUUCAAAUCAAAACUAGCCCAUCUUUACUUUAUGCUUACUGGAGAAGUGCUUAGUCGCGGCGAUUAUGGUUAGGGCUGCGUCCGGCCGACUUCUAGAAGACUCCAGCUCAUUACAAGCAGGAGUACUUUCAGGAGACGCAGGAAAGCAUGAAGUCAGAAACCUCAAGCACAAGGUUUGAAAAAGAAGGCGAGUUUUUCUGCAGAUUGCAGUAGAAAUAGAAAGAUGAGAGGGAAAUUUUCUAGCUACCCAAACAAAAAAGCCUUAGCAGUAGUGCAGAAUAGAACUUAAUUAUAAGGGGGUUUGCGAUUUAGUUGAUUCUGUAAAACCACCACCAGUUUAGCUCUUUAUAUAGCCUUCAAAGAUUUCUGGCAGUCUUGGUGGUCAAGCUGAGUGUUGGGAAUCUGACCGCUCAAAGAGAAGGAAAAAUCAGCGCAAGAGGGGUGGGUCUUUUUCUCUUUGACCUGAGAAUUGCCUGUUGAUCAAGCUUAUGGUGUAGGUGGAGCCACAUUUGCUAGGUUGGAAUUUUGUUUGAAUUUCAAUCAAAGAUGUUACCUUUAUUGUUUA